rnacentral:rRNA from 1 species
GAUGAACGCUGGCGGCGUGCCUAAUACAUGCAAGUCGAGCGAACAGACGAGGAGCUUGCUCCUCUGACGUUAGCGGCGGACGGGUGAGUAACACGUGGAUAACCUACCUAUAAGACUGGGAUAACUUCGGGAAACCGGAGCUAAUACCGGAUGAUAUUUUGAACCGCAUGGUUCAAUAGUGAAAGACGGUCUUGCUGUCACUUAUAGAUGGAUCCGCGCUGCAUUAGCUAGUUGGUAAGGUAACGGCUUACCAAGGCAACGAUGCGUAGCCGACCUGAGAGGGUGAUCGGCCACACUGGAACUGAGACACGGUCCAGACUCCUACGGGAGGCAGCAGUAGGGAAUCUUCCGCAAUGGGCGAAAGCCUGACGGAGCAACGCCGCGUGAGUGAUGAAGGUCUUCGGAUCGUAAAACUCUGUUAUUAGGGAAGAACAUAUGUGUAAGUAACUAUGCACAUCUUGACGGUACCUAAUCAGAAAGCCACGGCUAACUACGUG